rnacentral:rRNA from 1 species
GAUGAACGCUGGCGGCGUGCCUAAUACAUGCAAGUCGAGCGAACGGACGAGAAGCUUGCUUUUCUGAUGUUAGCGGCGGACGGGUGAGUAACACGUGGAUAACCUACCUAUAAGACUGGGAUAACUUCGGGAAACCGGAGCUAAUACCGGAUAAUAUUUUGAACCGCAUGGUUCAAAAGUGAAAGACGGUCUUGCUGUCACUUAUAGAUGGAUCCGCGCUGCAUUAGCUAGUUGGUAAGAUAACGGCUUACCAAGGCAACGAUGCAUAGCCGACCUGAGAGGGUGAUCGGCCACACUGGAACUGAGACACGGUCCAGACUCCUACGGGAGGCAGCAGUAGGGAAUCUUCCGCAAUGGGCGAAAGCCUGACGGAGCAACGCCGCGUGAGUGAUGAAGGUCUUCGGAUCGUAAAACUCUGUUAUUAGGGAAGAAAAUAUGUGUAAGUAACUGUGCACAUCUUGACGGUACCUAAUCAGAAAGCCACGGCUAACGACG